rfam:Brassica napus, WGS project CCCW01000000 data, contig: 17175
CGCUGGAGGCAGCGGUUCAUCGAUCUCUUCCUGUGGAUUUUUUUUUGGUUGUUUGUUGUUGUUGGAAAGAGAUUAAAAGCAUGAACAGAUCGAUAAACCUCUGCAUCCAGC